rnacentral:rRNA from 1 species
AGCAGCCGCGGUAAUUCCAGCUCCAAUAGCGUAUAUUAAAGUUGCUGCAGUUAAAAAGCUCGUAGUUGAAUUUCGGGACCACUAUGUCGGUCGUGCCUCGGUACGUACUGGCAUCGUUGGUUUCUCCCUUCUGACGAACCAUGAUGUCAUUUAUUUGGUGUCGUGGGGAAUCAGGACUGUUACUUUGAAAAAAUUGAGUGUUUAAAGCAGGCUCACGCUUGAAUACAUUAGCAUGGAAUAAUGAAAUAGGACGUUUGAUUCUAUUUUGUUGGUUUCUAGGAUCGACGUAAUGAUUAAUAGGGAUAGUUGGGGGCAUUAGUAUUCAAUUGUCAGAGGUGAAAUUCUUGGAUUUAUUGAAGACUAACUACUGCGAAAGC